rnacentral:rRNA from 1 species
CACGGAGGAUCCAAGCGUUAUCCGGAUUUAUUGGGUUUAAAGGGUGCGUAGGCGGCCUAUUAAGUCAGGGGUGAAAGACGGUAGCUUAACUAUCGCAGUGCCUUUGAUACUGAUGGGCUUGAAUGAACUAGAGGUAGGCGGAAUGUGACAAGUAGCGGUGAAAUGCAUAGAUAUGUCACAGAACACCAAUUGCGAAGGCAGCUUACUAUGGUUUUAUUGACGCUGAGGCACGAAAGCGUGGGGAUCAAACAGG